UGGCAUUCGAGUGGCGGACGGGUGAGUAACGCGUGGGUAACCUGCCUUACACAGGGGGAUAACACCUGGAAACGGGUGCUAAUACCGCAUAAGCGCACAGGGCCGCAUGGCCCGGUGUGAAAAACUCCGGUGGUGUAAGAUGGACCCGCGUCUGAUUAGCUUGUUGGCGGGGUAGGGGCCCACCAAGGCGACGAUCAGUAGCCGGCCUGAGAGGGUGGACGGCCACAUUGGGACUGAGACACGGCCCAAACUCCUACGGGAGGCAGCAG
rnacentral:rRNA from 1 species